UGAGGAACAUGACCUUCGGCGGGGGAUAGCCGGCCCAACGGCCGGGUAAUACCGCGUACGACCUUUCGGGGACAUCCUCGGAUGGUGAAAGCAGCAAUGCGCCGAUGGAGUGCCUCGCGGCCUAUCAGCUAGUUGGUGAGGUAACGGCUCACCAAGGCAACGGACGGGUAGCUGGUCUGAGAGGAUGGCCAGCCACAUUGGGACUGAGACACGGCCCAGACCUCCGUACGGGAGCAG
rnacentral:rRNA from 1 species